rnacentral:misc_RNA from 1 species
GUGUUUUCUUUGACAAUUCUGUAUUCAAAGUACUACUACUUCCAGAUGACAUAGCUGAAGGCUGAUCCUCAAGAUGCCAAAACUAUGAACUGGCUCAGCCCCCUAAGUUCCAGCCGCAGAUAAAUCAAGACAUUUUAACCUUUCAACAGAUCUAGCCUAACCCCCUUGAUCUUCCUCUUUAAGAUCCCACAGAAGCAGAGAAAGGGCUUCUAUUUUAACCAAUAGAGACCCAAUAAGCAUAGAUAGCCCAAUAUCGACCUGAAACAAACCAGACCCUCCAAUACCAG